rnacentral:rRNA from 1 species
AAUCAACGCUGGCGGCGUGCCUAACACAUGCAAGUCGAACGAGAAGGUGACUUCGGUCACUGGAUAGUGGCGUCCGGGUGAGUAACACGUAGGUAAUCUACCUUCGGGUGGGGAAUAACGUCUCGAAAGAGACGCUAAUACCGCAUAAUGCAGCGGCACCUAAUGGUGAUUAGUUGUUAAAGCGGGGGAGUCUUCGGACCUCGCGCCUGAAGAGGAGCCUGCGGCAGAUUAGCUAGUUGGUGAGGUAAUGGCUCACCAAGGCUUCGAUCUGUAGCUGGUCUGAGAGGACGGCCAGCCACACUGGCACUGACACACGGGCCAGACUCCUACGGGAGGCAGCAGUGGGGAAGUUUUGGGCAAUGGGCGAAAGCCUGACCCAGCAACGCCGCGUGAAGGAGGAAUCCUUCGGGAUGUAACUUCAUAAGUAAGGGAAGAAAGCUGCGGAUCGAAUAAGU